rnacentral:rRNA from 1 species
AUUGAACGCUGGCGGCAGGCCUAACACAUGCAAGUCGAACGAGGGGCGGACGGGUGAGUAAUGUCUGGGCAACUGCCUGAUGGAGGGGGAUAACUACUGGAAACGGUAGCUAAUACCGCAUACCAUCGGAUGUGCCCAGAUGGGAUUAGCUAGUAGGUGGGGUAAAGGCUCACCUAGGCGACGAUCCCUAGCUGGUAUGAGAGGAUGACCGUCCACACUGGAACUGACACACGGUCCAGGCUACUACGGGAGUCAGCAGUGGGGAAUAUUGCACAAUGGGCGGAAGCCGGAUGCAGCCAGGCCGAGUGUAUGAAGAAGGCCUGCGGGUUGUAAAGAACUUUCAGCGGGGAGGCGUUACCCGCAGAGGAAGCACCGGCUAAGUCCGUGCCAGCCGCCGCGGUAAUUC